CGCAUUAUAAAACCUAAUUCAUAAAAACCCACUAUUUUAUAAUUAAUCUUAUUACUACCAAGUCCAACUUCAUGGGAAAAUUACAUUACCCAAUCCGAUUAAAUAUUAUAAACUGUAGCUCACUUUCUAAACCUUUUUUAUUAACUGCAUUUUGACUUGACAUCACAACCUAAACGUUAUUAAGUUUUUUAUAAUAUUUUUACAAAAUAAACUGACGACAGCAAUACACAAACUGUUCACAUUCAAAAAAAAGUAAGUAUAAAUUGAGGAUUAUCAAAUUAAUAAGCAAACUCCCCUAGAAGGAUAUAUAACACCGCCAAGCCUUUUAAAUUUUAAACAUAAACAAAGUUAAUACUUACGUUCAUACUACUUAAGUAAAAAAAAUUUUUAAAAUAAAGAA
rnacentral:rRNA from 1 species